UUCAUUGGCAAAUGAAGUGGAGCAAGCAGAAAUAAAUGGCAAUGUUUCCGAAGAAUAUUACGAAUCUACACGCGAUAUAACUACUACUUUAUUAGAACGUCUCGGAGAGUUGUCUGCCUUAUCAGAUGUUGACACCAAUUUGGCAUCUGACCGCUUAAGAAUGGCGGCGGAACGGUUAUCAUUAGCUCGGGUUAGGGGAGUGGGAAGACCGUCCGUGGAAAUCCCUGGCGAAGCCAUAGAGGGAUAUCUUACUUAUGGUUUAACAGUUAAAGACAUUGCGACCUUGUAUGGUGUGAGUCGAUGGACAGUGCUUCGAAGAAUGAAACUGUACGAACUGAGAGGUCAAGAUGUGUACUCUCGUAUUGACAACACAGAACUGGACAGUUUGGUCAUGGAAAUUCAAAGGGAGCACCCACGGUGUGGAUAUCGUAUGAUGAGGGCUUUUCUCCAAGCACGUGGACAUUUGAUUCAGUGUUCUGAAGAACAAACAAGCCAAUGGGAUUUGAAAAAUACAUUUUUAUAGGGUACGUGAAUCCUUACAAAGAGUGGACCCAGAGGGAACGCAGCUUCGAGCCCUGGCAAACCGCACGCUUCAUCGCAGACAGUACUCCGUUCCUGGUCCGAAUUCAAUGUGGCAUAUAGAUGGAAAUCAUAAAUUGAUACGCUGGCGAUUCGUGAUUCACGGAGGCAUUGAUGGUUUUAGUCGUCUUAUUGUCUUUCUGAAUGCUGCUACCAACAACAGUGCCACUACUGUGCUGGAUGCGUUUCUUGGUGCUGUUAGGCAAUAUGGAUUGCCUUCUCGUGUUCGCUCUGAUAAAGGAGGAGAAAACGUUGAGGUGGCACAGUUCAUGAUACAGAAUCGUGGUGAAAACCGCAAUUCUCACAUUACAGGAAGAAGUGUUCAUAAUCAACGGAUUGAACGUCUUUGGCGGGAUGUGUACACACAAGUCCUUGAUUUGUUCCACACACUGUUUUACCAUUUUGAAGAAAAUGGAAUGUUGAAUCCUAUGAGAUCCACCUUUUUGCACUACACUGGACAUUUCUCCCCCAAUUACAGCAUCAACUGAACACUUUCAAAGAUGCAUGGAACUUUCACAGACUGAGAACAGAGAACAGCCGGUCUCCUUAUCAACUUUGGCUGCUAAAUAGACAUGCUGAGGAUGAUCCAGAGAGUGUGAAUGAUGACUACGGCAUUGACUGGAAUGGACCGCAUGCCAUGGAAGAUGCAGACAGUGUUGUAAUCCCAGAUGUCCAGUUGCAACGAGAUCUCACUGCAGAGGAGAUUGCAAGCUUACCCAAAUGGGACGUUUCCCUC